rnacentral:rRNA from 1 species
AGCAGCCGCGGUAAUUCCAGCUCCAAUAGCGUAUAUUAAAGUUGUUGCAGUUAAAAAGCUCGUAGUUGAAUUUCGGGAUCAAAUUGUCGGUCGUGCCUCGGUACGUACUGGUAUUAUUGGUUCCUCCCUUCUGACGAACCACGAUGUCAUUAAUUUGGUGUCAUGGGAAAUCAGGACUGUUACUUUGAAAAAAUUAGAGUGUUUAAAGCAGGCUCGCGCUUGAAUACAUUAGCAUGGAAUAAUGAAAUAGGACGUUUGAUUCUAUUUUGUUGGUUUCUAGGAUCGACGUAAUGAUUAAUAGGGAUAGUUGGGGGCAUUAGUAUUCAAUUGUCAGAGGUGAAAUUCUUGGAUUUAUUGAAGACUAACUACUGCGAAAGCAUUUGCCAAGGAUGUUUUCAUUAAUCAAGAACGAAAGUUAGGGGAUCGAAGACGAUCAGAUACCGUCGUAGU